rnacentral:rRNA from 1 species
CCUACGGGAGGCAGCAGUAGGGAAUAUUGCUCAAUGGGGGCAACCCUGAAGCAGCAACGCCGCGUGGAGGAUGAAGGUUUUCGGAUUGUAAACUCCUUUUGUUAGAGAAGAUAAUGACGGUAUCUCACGAAUAAGCACCCGCUAACUCCGUGCCAGCAGCCGCGGUAAUACGGCGGGUGCAAGCGUUACUCGGCAGGACUGGGCGUAAAGAGCGCGUCGGCGGGAUAGCAAGUCAGAUGUGAAAUCCUAUGGCUUCACCAUAGAACUGCAUUUGAAACUGUUAUUCUAGAGUAUGGGGGAGGUAGGUGGAAUUCUUGGUGUAGGGGUAAAAUGCGUAGAGAUGAAGAGGAAUACUCAGUGCGAAGGCGACCUGCUAGAACAUAACUGACGCUGAUGCGCGAAAGCGUGGGGAGCAAACAGGAUUAGAUACCCGAGUAGUG